CUUAUCCUCGACCUGGACGGAUAAUUUGUCUCGGGGUGAAGAGUUAGUGAGACGUUGCAGCAAAGACGGUGUGCCAGCAUCUGCUCCGCCCUCAGAGCUGCUGUGACUCAGCUUGAUAGUGAGUGACACUUCAUUAUCAGAGACUUUGAUUUGAGGGUAAACAUGAUGUUUGAUGAUUCACUGCACCAUAAAUAAAUGAAAAGAGUGUGAGUUUUUAGUGGAAGAAAGUCAACACUGUACUGUGAGAAAUAAAUAACAUUAAUGAUAAUGCCUCUCCUCCUCAACCUCUUUUUCACUACAGAAUUACGGACAGGGGCAGCUGCACAAACAAGGGAGUUGUGAUUAAGUGCCACUUUUAGACGGAAACGGUCUCCAUAGAAAAUGGAAAAGUGCAGUUUCGUUUUCAGUUUUUAUGCUGUGUUUACACAAAAACGCAAUGUGGUUGAAAGCGCUGUAAUGUGCAUGCCAGGUCGCUAGGUGGCGCGUGUUAGUGUGACCGCGCUCCCAUAUAGACCAACAACGCAUAUGUAGAACAAUUUCCGUUCUACUUCCGCCGACCAAUUGGCACAUUUAUUAUUUGAUGCAAAUAAUUCAGACGCCUCCUCUACUGAGCAGCAUGAUUUCUGAUUGGCUGAUUGAAAGCAGGUCUCUGAUUGGCUGAAUAAAAGGAGCCUUCUGAUUUGCUGAUUGAAGUACAUCUCUGAUAGGCCAGUAAGAAAAACUGCCUGGUUGGCAUAAUUUAUGUUGCUUUUAAGUUACCUUAGAAGUCAAAAAUAAUGAAAGCUUUUUCAACGCUUGCCUUGUCUGGAUUAAGCAAGGACAAGGCAAGCGCUAAAAUAACUUUCAUAAAUAUAGCCAUCUUGUUUUCCGCCUCCGAUUUUGCUUUUUUCCGACUUGGUAACUAAAACACUGGUAACUCAGGUUUGACAUCUGACUUCCAAGGUAACUCGAACGCAGCAAUAAGCAGCCAUCUGAUUUGCAGGAUAGAAUGUGCUUUCUGAUUGGCUAUUGAAAGCAGGUCUCUGACUGGCUGAAUCUCUUUUAGGCUUGCAGGUGUGGCUCUGUGCUGGUCUUGAAUUCAGAAACCUUACGUUGUGAGGCAAAGGGGAGAUGUUUAUAAGAGCAAGGCUGCUAAUUGAGAAUAUUCAGUUUGUACUGAAAGGGCAUGUGACCUGAAGCGUCGAAAUUAUAAAUACCUUACAGGUUUGAAAUAAACACCUUGGCAAGACACUAAGAUGUGCAGAACCUUCUGGAUCCUUUUUUCUUGCGCACAGUUUUAAUGGAAAAAAGAUGCUGUGAUGACAAGGUUGAUGCUACCGUCAUGAUAUUUCCCUGGGGUCCAGCGCACCACAUCAUUUAUCAUCAGCUGACAGCAUGUUCCUCAGAGUCUCCCUGUCUGAUAGUAAAUGCAAAACCUUGUUGUUUAAAGUUGUUUGAAUUAUUUAUUUUGUCUAUAUCGUUGAAUUUGAAAAUGAUUUUGUGGUCAAAUAACUGUUGGGCUGACUAACCUGUAUGAUAAUAAAUGAAUGGAUCACAGUUUUUUGGCCUUCAGCACAAGAGCAUUUGCAGAUACAUGCAAUCAUGCAGAUGGGUGAAAGCCUGAGUAUAACAGCCAUGCUUUCAUGUAAUUUUUGAUGAAACUCAGGCCUCCAGCUCCUUUAGCAUAAACUGGUGCAAACUGAAUAGGGGAAAUUGGAUUUGGUUGGAAGCAAGGAGAAAAGGUUGCAAAACAGCUGUUGUGUUAAGCAUGAAGAACAGCAGGUAAACAUAGAAACAGCAGCUAAUAUGCACCAUAGAGUUUUAUUUCAAUUCUUUCUUUAUUAGUUGCACUUAGAUACGAUAUGGUACAAUACAGUAUGAUAAGAUACGAUACAAUAUGAUACAAUACGAUAUGAUACAAUAUGAUAUGAUAUGAUAUAAUACGAUAUGAUAUGAUACGAUACAAUAUGAUACGAUAUGAUACGAUACAAUAUGAUACAAUAUGAUACGAUACGAUAUGAUACGAUACAAUACGAUACAAUAUGAUACAAUACAAUAUGAUACAAUAUGAUACAAUACGAUAUGAUACGAUAUGAUAUGAUACAAUACAAUAUGGUACGAUACAAUAUGAUACGAUACGAUAUGAUACGAUACGAUAUGAUACGAUACAAAAUGAUACAAUAUGAUAUGAUGCGAUUUGAUACGAUAUGAUACGAUAAAUUACGAUACAAUAUGAUAUGAUACAAUAUGAUACGAUACAAUAUGAUACAAUAUGAUACGAUACAGUAUGAUGUGAUACAACAUGAUACAAUACGGUAUGAUACGAUACAAUAUGAUAUGAUAUGACAUGAUACGAUACAAUAUGAUACAAUAUGAUACGAUAUGAUAUGAAACGAUACGAUAUGAAACGAUACGAUACACUUUAUUGUCCUCUUAGGGAAAUUUGUCUCGGACUCCAAGAGCUGUUUUUUUCUCCAGUUUCGCUGGCUUAGUGUGAGCAUAGUCUUCUUUGUUGUAAUUAAAAGCAGCCUUUCAUGUUGGAUAUUUUAGAUAAACCACAUUGAUGAAGAAAACACACAAUGCUACAGCAGCUUUCAUACUUGUCUUUCAAAAAUUACUGGAAAAGCUUUACACGGAACAAAGGAACUUAAUAUAACAAAUGAAAAGUGACUGUUUUGGUACAUGCAGUUUGCAGAGAACAGAGUACAUUUUUAUAGGCUACAGGGAUGUCUGGAGUCAGAAAGUCCAGUGCCCACAGUUUUCAGAUAUAUGAAAAAAAACACUGAAAACAGCUCAUCCUCACUCCUCAAUCAAUGGAUGCCGCCCACUCUAGCUGUACCCACAGAAGUCCAAAGACCUCGACGACUCACAGUAAAAACUUUCCCUCUUUGAAAGAUGACUCAACCAUUGACGUCCUCCGCCCUCUCAGUCUGAGUGAACUAUCGGUGCUUUCAGAGGAGAUAAAAACAAGAGGAGUAUUUCUCCUGUCUGAAACAGGUUCGUGUUUCAGUUCAUUGCUCUCUGAUGUCCGUCUGCAACAGUCAAUAAUGUCAGCCGAGAGACACUCUGGUCUGACUAAGAAAUACCUUUUGGCUUUCUGCUCUCAGAGCUUCGAUUUAUCUUUUUUACAUUUCUGACCUGCUGUCGUGGAGUGAACAUUUUUGCAGGGUGCAGCUUGAGAAAGUGCCAGCAGCUCAAAAAUCAAACCCUGAAGAGUGAAUCAAAAUAAAGCCUAUUGUUGCAACUGAAGAGGACUGGUGAAAUACAAAAGUACAGGCAGUCUGUCAUUCCUUGACCUCUACAGUCAUGACCCUCAGAGCUGUCAUCAAAACAUAUAUAUAUAUAAACUGACUAAAGUAGGCUAUCUAAAUGUAUAUAGAAGGUAAAACAUUCACUUUUCAUUGGUAGAAAACAUACAGUAGCGAGGCCGCAAUAACCUAUAGUUGUACUUCAGUAGCCUACAUUUUUUUUAUUAGUCCUUUUUUGUAUAGAUUUAUUGAUUCAUACUGAUUAGUUCACUUGGAAUAAAGCAAAAGCAAAAGCUUUUGUUUUUCUCCAUUUUUAAUCUAUAUCCAAACUGACCCUUUAUACACUGAUAUAAAUAUCUGUGUAUUUGGGUGUCAGGUCACAGGAUAGUCUGAAAUAAAUGUUUCCACUUUUGUCCCUCAGGUGCCCCCUUGUGGCCACCUUAAGUCCUUGCACUGAAGUUUCCAGAGAGAAACAGGAGCAGCAGGUGUGAUGAACCAAAGAUGAAAUCUCAGGUAAGGGAGACAGAUGCACACAACAACACAUUCAGCUGUCGGGUUUCAAAAUAAAGCAUGAACCUUUAAAAUCAGCCAUUGAAAAGUAAAACAGUUGGAACAUGAGUUUUGAGUGGAGUUUAAAUACAUUUGUUAAUGAAGAAUCAACAUGUUGACUUGGUUUUUUUUACUGUUUUAAGAAUUUAUUUCAGAUUGUAUUUUUAGUAUAUACAGGCACAUUAUGCAUGUGUUGGAUUUGACUGUGCAGACACCAAAAGGGCCCCGUUUAAAUCAUCCAAGACUUUUUGCCUUCACCUGGAGAGGACAGGAUAGUGAACAGGGACAGAGAGCACUUGGAUUCCCUGUACCUGUCCAUGUGGGAGGGAAGCUACAGGCUGGGCCGGUGGUGUGAGGCAUAACCUGUGUAUAUGGGGUGAUGUGUAGUCUGCUUGGCCAACAGACCAAAAUGCUUUGGUGCUGUGCUAGCCUGCCAUUACCAAACCUAUUCUCUUUGGUGAACAAGUCUGGAAACUCUCCAUUCAUUCCAUUUAUCAGAGGGCAUCAGCAACGGUCAUGUACGAAAGUGCAAAUGACUGUACUUUGACAUCGCCGCCAUAUUGCAGAGGGCAGUCUGGAAAGAUGCCAAUUCAUGUGAUGCAAAAACCUCCUACUGGCUGUUGUGAAAUGAUCAUGCUGGUCUAAUCUUGACUUAUAAGUGUUAGCAUAGCUUCCUGCCAAUAUUCAGCAAAUGUGCGUAUAAGUACUGUGUCACUACAGUCAUAUGGUUUCACUGUAAACCCUAUUCUGCCUAAACAGUGUAAAACAGUAAGCUGUGUCUGCAUUUGUCCUCAUAUGGUAUCAUGAGGACGUGUCAGGGAGGAUUUGAAAUGUUUUCUUCUACCUGUACAUGGAUGUGAGGAAAGAUCAGACCAGCAGGCCUGUGGUGUGGUGGUUUGGACUGCUACCUAAAAAUGAUCCUGCAUUCAAAUCACUCUGAGUUUGCUGAAGUAGACCUGGUUCCAGUCUCACCCUAGCUGAGUCCAUGUUCGGGUCUUUUAGUUUUCCAGUGUAUUUCAGCACUUCUACUGCAGAGGAACCAAACAGUAACCUCACUUGCUUAUGCCCAAAGUUGACAAUGUAAAGCUUCUCUGUGUUACCAGUUUUUGCAACCAAUAGCUUGCACCCUUAGACUGUGUUUGAAUCUCACCUUUGUCCCUCCAGUUUUUCCAUUCUUGCAUGGAAAUAUUCUUCUUUUCCUACAGUUUCAUUUGCAGUAUCAGAGAUUUAACCCCAGAAAAUCACGAGACAUGCUGAUGGAGAUCUUUAUGGAGGAAUUAAAAGCAAAAAUUAUCUUAAGUGUAGAGUACAGGAGGUUUUUAUAUGCAGCUUUGUACUAUUUGUGUUUCUCUUGGAAUGACUUGCACUGUGUUUGACCACGUUUACUCCACUGAAGACCAUGUUCACCUCUUUCUCCUGUAGGUGGCAGCACAGGCUUUUAGAUAGAUCAUGAUGCUGUGUAUGAGAUAGAAAACUCUUUUCAGAUAUUGUAAGAUAUGCCACGUUAACUUAAAAGUAAAAAUUGGCAACUUGUCUGAUUGGAAAGUUUGUUUUUAAAAUCUCUUAAAGUAGUUGGACAAAUCUCAGGAAAUGCGUUGGCAGAUUCUGUUUUCCUGAUUUGUAAUGUAGCACUUAAAACCACAAGAUGGAGCUGCUCUCCUUUUAAAUUUCAGCAUUAAGCCCACUUAAAAUCACACAAAGCUGUAAUUUUACAAAGGAACAGUGGGUGUGUUUUAAACUGGGCGACAGAAAUGAGAAUUAAAACAGUCAAAAAUAUGCAAAGAAAUGACUUCCUGUCUCUCUGAGUUGUAUUUCAGUGGUUGUAUAAAGGAUUUUGAGGAGCAUAGCGAGGGAAAACUGUUCCCAUUUGAAACCCUUUAGGACAGGUCUGUAAAAGUAGGUUAAUGAGUCACAACAAUUCAGGUGCAGACAUCAUGUUCAGCCAGCGGGCCCACAAAAGACUCAUGUCAGCAAGAGAGAAGCACUCAGGAUGAAUGUUCACUGAUAUGAGCACUACUGAUUAAAAGCUUUCUGUUUGGGGUCUCUAUACAUUUCAGGAUGAUAUAAUCCACCAAGAAUACAGUUAUACAUCUGCAGGUAUGAAGUUCAUCUACAUACACAUUCAUAUCUUGUAAUCCAACGGAAUAAAACAAUAUUUUGAUCUUUUAGCACAAACAUCUAUGGACUCAGACAGAAAAGGACAGUUUACAGUCAUAAUCUAAACUAAAAAGAGGGAAUAUGCCAAAUCAAAAUAUACUGAAAGUUCUGAGUUUCUUUAAAAUACAGUCCAAAUCGUGGAUUUUAACACAGUCUGACAUCUGAUGAGUACAAAAGAGUUUCAGGGUUAAGGAGAAAGAAUCAAAUGAAAGGAGGAAGAUUUCUUUGUCAUUAUGUGCUUCAAGAGUAAAGUAAAAAUGUUGAGAAUAAAGUUGAAUUUUUAAGAAAAGAGAUUAAAUUUAACUUUGGGCAAACAGUUUAACGCAACACAUGACAUUAUCACAGAGUUUUGACUUUUUUUCUCAACAAUUUGACUUUUAUCUCAAAACUGUCUGUCCUACUUCUAAUAUAAGCUUUAUUCAUUACUCUGAGUUUUCUUAGAAGCUACUUUUAGUGGGGAUCUUUGGGUGGUACCUACUGUGGUCUAUCACAUCCCAGCAUCUGACAACAUCAGGCGGUACAAAAGCACGGCCGUUAUAUAUUCACGUCUCCCUCUUAGUAAAACCAAAGCAUGCAGAAUAAUUCAUGUAAAACCAUUUUGAACAUUUAUUGCAUUAAAUUCAGAUCAUUACCAUGUGAUUAGUGUAAAUGCUCAUGAUGGGGUGUUGACAAAAUUGGGGUCAAUUGUAUAACUGCUAAGUCAAACUGGCACAGCGUGUAUGAGUUAUUUAAAGUAGGUCAACUGGGCUUAUAGGUGACGUGCGAUUGAAUAUUUGCAGUCUGAGCACAGGUUAAUCCAACAUGUCUAUUAUUCUAUUAUUCUGUUAUUUGUUUUGGGAUUUUUCAGAUAAAGUCAGGUCAGGAUCUGUUGAGUAGUGUGAUGCUUUUGUCUGCUAAGCCCACCAAGACAAUCCAAGGCCUGUACAAAUAAAUGACUUGACAUGUCUCCGCUGCUCUUGACCCACUUCACUUGGAGCCCCAUGCCAGUCAUCAUUUUUGUGUUUCCAUGGCAAUGUAAGGAGAUGCAGUGCAAUACCAUGGCAACAACAGAUCUUGUGGAACAAAAAAUUGAGCUCCCUGUUGGGCAUACACCUGUGUGUGUGUGUGUGUGUGUGUGUGUGUGUGUGUGUGUGUGUGUGUGUGUGUGUGUGUGUGUGUGUGUGUGUGUGUGUCCAUUAUAAUACAGGGCUGCACUUUGCAGUUAUGAUGGUAAGGAGAUCAUGAGACUGGUCUGGCUGUUGAAAAUCACAGCUCAGACUGCCGUGUGAGGCUUUACAUGACCAUCUCACAUGAAAGUUCCAAGUCAGGAUUUGAACCCAGAACCAUUUUAAGGCAGCAGUGCUUCAGGUCUGCUUGCCUUUCUUGGUCUUUUGGUUAAACCAUGCCAUUACUAUAAUUUAGAACACAGUGUGGAGAAAUGAUUUGUUCCUGUAUCGUGUGGAAAACGCCUCUUCAGGAGUUGAACCAAGAACCUUUUUACUCAAAGGCAGCAAUGCUAACCCCUUGACCCCAGUCUGUAUAACAGUGCUUGCUUUAUUUGGCGCCUUCUAUUCAACACUUCUUUAUGAUUGCUCAAAAGCACAGCCUAGGCUCUUCAGACACUUAUAUUGGUUUUAUACUCUGAACCUUUCAGCUGUGAACUGGAAAUCUAAAUCAAUGAAACACAGUCGGCCUUACAUUUCUCCCCUCUUAGUUGUUAUAACUUUCCUGUCAGUUUGGAGCAGUGUGAUCCAUACUCUAAAAACCACUUAAAUAAGGUAUUACUAUGUCAGGCUAGAUUAAUUACCUUUAUCUGUUUUUCAUUAUAUUGUGGUAAUUCAAAAGCACAGUCAAGACAGCUGUGGUACAAAACCAGAAUAUAUUCACUACACAAAGAAAGUUUUCCACCAGACUGUGAACCGAUGGUGUGUCCCAAAUCGCAUACUUCCAGUACUAAAUACGUAAAAUCUUGAGUAUACUCAAUGCAAAAUGGAAAAAAGUUUUUUUUACUGUUUAGUAGUUUGACUUGUCUACAGUCAUCUUAACGUUAAAUAACGAUUUUGCAAAAUAGAUCACAAAUAAACUACAUACCGCUGCAUCUUCAGCCAGUAGAAGGAGGAGAAAGCGUUGUUGGCGCCGAUUGAGAUGUAAAAAGCAAUGAACAUUCAUUUUGUUGCUGAUUUUACCUCAAAAGUGGAUGAAUGAGCGCAGGCAAAAGGUGGCGGUAGUUAGCUAAUGCAGAGCUAGCCAAUGACAAAUUGGCGUAGAUGAAAAAAUCGCAGCGUCAUUUCCAGUGAGACGCACGGCAACACUGCACCCUCGAAACUCAAUCACUAUGCGAUUGAGUACAUAGUAUGCUUAGAAAACUCAAUUUGAAAAAUUUAAGUAUUCAGUAUGGAAGUAUGCGGUUUGGGACACACCUCUACAAUCUGCUAGCCACGAGGCGUCAGUGCUUACUACCACACUUCACAUUUUGCAGUGCUCACUUUCACAGGUUUAUGACCUUUUUAUUAUACAAAAGCCUGGUGUACAUUCCAGUGGUAGGAUCCAAACCAUCUCCGCAUGACUGGGUCACUGCUGGGACGACACACGACUUUAAUAUGGUUAGAAAUCAAUGCUAAUCGCUUCACUGAGGUGCCAGUAUGCAGGAUUUGUUCAGGGUUAUACCGUCUGGAACAUCAUGGUGAUUUAAAUGCUUGUUCUGUCCUCCAAUGGUGGGACCCGGGACUUCCUAGCUCUACAUGAAUAGGUCCCUGCCAGGGUCAGAACAUUGAGAGGAAAAAAUCUUGCUUUUCAUUUCGGGUUUAUUGAGGGUCGUUUCUUCCACUGGGACCCAUGAUAGUCACUCCCACUUGUCUCCCGUACCGUCAUGGCAUUAUUAGCUGAUGGUUAAUGUUUCACCACACAGACUGAGUGGGAUUUCCAUGAACAGUGGAUUUACCUCUUACUGAGCACCGCAUCUAUAAAACAUUGGCAUGUGCACAAUUUGCUGUUGUUUAAUACAUUACCCUCUUCAAGCAGCUGGGACAUGUUGCACUAUAAUCCUCCUCACCACUUAGCCUAUUCGAAAAAACAAUGGACAGCAGCCAACAUUGCAGCAAUAAUACAACAUUAAAAUGCAGCACGUAUAAAUUAUGGCUGAGGAUCCUGCAACAGCGGCCACCGUGGGUCCCAUCUGGCGCAGAGAAGUCAUGACAUAACAUUGAUUUAGAGGCAUUUUUAUUGACAGUUGCCCCUUCCUCAUUCUGCGUAGUGGCGUUGCAUGAGCGGUUAAUUGCAUCACCACCACCUGAGUCCAUCUGCAAAUCAGCUCUCAGUGACAAGGGGUGGGAUUACACUGGGAGCUAAAAUCUGAUUUAACAUGACCCUGUUUUGACUAAUAUGUGAUAUUAGCCCUGUUAUCGUAAUAUGAAAAACCUACACUGAGUCUGUGAGCGGCUUGUAAAUGUGUAGAUUUAUGGAAAUUGAAGUGCAAAGAUCAUAUUUUUAUUUGAUAGAACAGCCCACUGGUGGAUAUUUUCCAAGGCCGGCAGAAUCAUACACACUGUUGGUUUCAAGCUCAUUUAUAAUUUAAAUGUAUAACACCAUUUCUGAAAAGACUGGGACGACGUGUCGUGCAAAAGACAAUAUACGAACUAUUGAAACACUUGAUAGUUUUAUAAAGUUUGAUUUUUCUAACACAUUUAAAGUAAGUUAAGACAGGGGCAUGUUUAUGAUGUCGCCAUGCAUUACCUCUUCUUUAACCAAUACUCUGUUGAGGUUUGAAAUCCCAGGUGACCAGUUUCCCAGGGUCUCCUUUGUUGUAUCUUUAAUUCAUGAUGCACCAGAUGUCUUUAACAGUCUACCGCAUGGUACACUUUGUUGAUGAAGUGGUGAAUUGUGUCCAUCUACACAACAGUUUUUGGGAGUGGUUUUUAGCCUAUGCAGUGACUUCCACUAUAGAGUCAUGCACCCUAAAUUACAGCCACCUAGUGUUGGUUACUGGGUUUGUAUCAUAUUCAAAAUGACCUUAUUUUCAGGAAACAGUUGCACUAUUUUCAAUUGAAUAUCAGGUGUAAACUAUUUGCAUCCCAUCAAAAUCAAUUUGUAUUUUCAUUUAUACAACAUCCCAGUAUGUACGGGACAUACGUAGACUGUAUAUACUAUGGACAACUUGGUUUCGCCUUUCGCCAGUAUAAGGAUUCGAAGCCAAAAAGCUCUUGCUGAUCCCGUGUUUUUUCUUCAUUUCCUGAAACCAACACUGUGGAGUAGCAGUGUACGCGCUUCACUGAGAGUCACUGUGAUGACGCUUGGCUCAAACAGCGUAUCCCUGGGUGAGCUAGGCAAUCUUCGUACGCCCAUAGGCUGAAUCAAGUGUCAAUCAUAGAAAAUAUGAACCCCUAAUAACUUUUAAAACUGGAGCUGUACAGAAAAAAGAGGACUCGAGCACAAACCAGUCUUACAGUAACUACAUGUCAACAUCGCAAGCAGGGGGGAGAAAAAAAUUUAUGUUCUGUGUAAUUAAUUUCUACAGUUUGUCCACAGCUCCAUAAGGAUGGCUGGCGGAGGCAGGAUUUAUGACCUAUACUGCAGCCUGUCACCAGAGGGUGCUGUUCUCAGAGUGGCUUCACCCAUCAAGGAGGCGGAUGGCAUCCAUUCUAUAUACAGUCUAUGGUAUAGGACAAGAUCAGCAAAGACGUAACAGCAGUGUUGUUUUCUUUGACAAUGACGUUGAUGAAAUAUUUUCAUCAAUGAAAUAUUUUCGUCAACGAAAACAACACUGCAGAAUAUAUGUUUAGCGUUAGACUGCUCAUGAAUUUUGCAACUCUGUUCAUCGUCCACCACUAAAGUUGUCCUCUAGUCAUGUCAACGUAAAAACACAUUUUAGUCAUCUAAGACUUAUGUUUAGCUCGUAAACGUCACGUCUUUGUCGUGUAAAAAAAGGGGUUAGUCAAUGAAAACAACACUGCGUAAUAGGUUUCAUUUUAUCCACAGGGGGCGCCAAAUUCAACACAAAUUGAAAGUUCCUUGCUAGAGCUUUAAGGAUGAUAAAAAAAUUCCUUGUUGCCAUCGAUGAUCUUUAAAAAAAAAGCUUCAUUUCUCAUCUCCAGCUGCACAGACUGUGCAGACUCAAUAUCAGCCCACCAUCAACACGUGAAUAGUAUUUUUAUCGGCAUAUGAAUUUUAAUUUGGGAUAUUCCCUGGCUCUUGUGCAUCUAGUGGGAGGACACAUUUACAUUUCAUGACAUUCUCAAUCCGAAGAGCGCAGCAUCUCCAUAACGUGUGGGUGAAAUAUGCAUGAUGCCUUUAUCAGUCGAAACACUGAUAAAACAAUGAAGAAGACAGUAUCCAGCCGUGUAAAAUCCAACCAAUGAGUGUCUGAGAAACACCAGGAGAGCUGCUUCUCUGCUGCUAGAAUGCAGCACGUUUUCUCCAGCUGUAUUGAUUUUCUGAGUUUGUGGUUGUACUCUAAAAAUAUUCCAACGGCUUUGUUCUCGAGAAGUAAAUCACCUUUCCUCACCUUUGAGCAGAACUUUAAGAAAGACACUCAUUGAAAGUAAUUUUCUUCAAUCUAGAUGUAAGAUUUCUGCCCAACAGCAGCCUUUUGUUGAGUCCUCCAGAUGGUCUCUGCAUGUGCUGUACUCUAUCACUGGGAGCUGCCUCUCUACAUGCUCUCUCCAUUGUAAUGCAUAUCUGCACGUGGUGCCUUUUAGCCCUGAGCUCUUUUCAUAGCAGAAUCGCUGUGUCUCAAUCAAUCUGACUUCCCUUUAUUCACGGUGACCACAGCUCGGUCCGGCUUUAACUACAAGCUUUUGUAGCCGGUUAUUCGUCUUCUGUCGGAGGAAACGUAACAAUGGAAGUUUCUGUAGGAACAAUGGUGAGGUGUGAUUGAUAUAACCAUCUGCCUGACUGGUCACCUUGAUGAAAAUUGAGUGGAGGAGUGUAAUAUGAAUGCUGAUCUGCGUCUAGAUUGUGUAAAGAAAGGUCCAGAUCACCGCAGGAGAGGUGCAGGUUUGUUCGUGGAAUGACUUGGCCGUCUCCCAGUGUCUGCAUGCACGUGUCUACUUGUGCAUUCAUGUGUAUUUCUUAUCUGUAAGCUGGAGUGUGAUGAUAGUGGCCUUUACACGCCUCUUCUGGGUGGUCAUUCUGCAGAUUAAUCUCACAGCUGAGAGAAAGGGUCGUGACCUCUGCUGUUUUUCUUUCAGGGGAGGUCACUCUGAAUCCGGGCUGUCUGCUUGUUUCUGAUGUGACUCAAAUAUACAAAGCUCUGUUCAGUCGACACCAUGUUUUUUUCUGAAUAUAGCUGCUCUUUCUUGAUUCAUAUCUUCAUUUUAAAACAUGUUCAGAACAAAGAAAACUAUUACAUAUAAAAUACAAACCAAAACAGCAAAUCUGCAAAGUCUGACACAAAGAAAACUGUUCUUGUUAGAUUUAUUUUGUGAUUUUAUCUUUUUCUCAAUUUCUACAGAAUGCUCAGUUUUGCCUGAGUUGAUUAAAUGUCGAAAUUAAAUUAAAUUAGAAACAGUCCUCAAGAUUUCCUGAUGACUAGACUACAUUGAUUUUAUUGCUUUGUGAAAACCCUGACACCCAAAGAUAAGAGCUUGAAAAUAAAAGAAAACAGAAAUAAAAAAUCAAGUGAUUUGGCAUUUUUGUCUCAGAUGAUAACUGAGUAUCUGCAGAUAGUGUCAGCUUUUCCAGAUUAAAUUCUUAUUGGUUGACAUUAAAACAUUGAAUAAUGAAUAAAAACUAAAAGUUCUUAUAAUAUACAUCUCUCUGGUACGACGGAGUAUUAGGGCCACAUUAAGAAAAAAAAUAAGACUUUGUAAUUACUUAUGAGAAUAAAGUCGUAGCUAAUAGCUAUUCUAACCUGUUGUUCGUUGUUUAAAUGAGCGCUUUGGAGCAUUUAGAUGAAUUGAACUUCAGUAGCUUGGUUUCACAAACAAGGAGAUACUAAAUCCUUUGGCGUUUCAGCAUCACAUUGUCAUAAGUAUCAGGACAAAUGCAAGAAAUGCAUCUUUUCCGCAGAAAGAACCAGGUCGGGAAUCGCUGUUUUUGAGGCUGAAAAUGUCUGUGUAGAGGCUAAAUCCCUUAAUGCAGCUGUUUAAAGCAAUCGCAUAUGUCUUUAGUUUAUCAUAUGAAUCUACUAUAUGCCAUAAGGUGUUGGUGCCUCUGCAGGUGUAGGUUGCUGCCGGUGUUGUACUGGCAUCAGAGACAGACAUGGUCGGACUCGUUGCAGCUUGACUUCCUCUGAAUCGCAAACGUUGAUCAUCAGUUGGAUUGUUUCUUGAGAAACCACAAAGGUCCUCUGAAUGACCCACUGAUGCACCCACUGAUAACUCUGCAGUUGACCAGUUCAGCCAUUUCCUUCUCCACAAAAGCAGCUUUAAGACUUCAUUUACUUUAUGACUUUAUUCUCGCAAGUAAUUAUUUUCCUGUGGCUUUCUUCUCGUAAGUAAUUACAAAGUCUUAAUUUCUUUCCUAAAUGUGGCCCUAAACUCCUUCGUACUCUGGCAUUCCAGCUAAAACCUUUGAGAAGUUUUGAGAAGCAUUGGCGGACCUGACUGCAGAGCGUCUGUGCCUUCUAAAAUAGCGCAAAAAGACUCUGACGAAUGACGAGUGCCCAGCGCUGCCACGUGCAUCAGAGUGUAAAGAUGCUAACAGCUCAUUUCAAACACAAGUUAAUGCAAAACUGGAGCAAACUGCAUGAAACUGCAGAUGUGGAUGGUCUGAGUGAGGUACAGGCCACCUCCCUCUGGUUUUUUUGUCCUCUGUUGCUGAUGAGUCUCGGUUUCACUGUAGGCUUUAAGCUACACAGAGGUUUCACAAUGGUAUAAUUAGCAGUUAGCAAAGAGGCUAAAGCCCAAUCCAAACUUAUGUUCUUUCCCUCUUAGGUAGAGGAAGCACUGUGCUUCAAAACUCUGAUCCAGAAACCAAUGGGUGAUAACAGUGAGUCUGAGUCCAUAUAUCUGUCCCUAAUACAGUGAAGACAUCUCCCAGUGAGACAUUUAUCCACCUAUCCCUCUUUUCUGGUCAUACAUAAUAAAAUUUUCUAAUAGAUCUCUUGAGAGUUGAGCUUCCUAGUUUUUUAAAAUCUACAUCUCUCUUUUUUUACACUUUUCCUAAGCGUCUGAGCAACCGUAUCUGCCUUCUUGCCUCAUUCCCCUCCAAUCACCUAAAUUAUUAAUGUUUUAUAUUAAAGCAUAUGAAUGCAUUAUUUAGCAAGGUCCUCUAGUACGCUGAUAAAGAGAAGCUUUCACACAGUUUACGGCUUUUCUUCUCCCUCGUCUUACAGCUUCGUAACCCACUUUAAUUCUUCCAUAAAUCACUAAAAUAAGGUUGUACAGCGGUUUAAAAAAAACUGCUCACACUGCACGCAUAAACAUUUGUGAGAUCUGAUAACUGUUCUGUUAAAAAGAUAACACUUUCUAAUACAAAUUUGUCUGAAAGGCGGUGUGGCAUGUUUCUCACAUCCUGUUUGUUUGACUCACGACAGCCUCUUUGGACCUUGGCUGCUCUGUGUCCAUGCAAACCCAGGAAGACGAGUGAAUAAAGACGAGGUGAGCUGUUCAUCUGAGCUGACACGAAUCAUUCAGAAGUCCAGUAGAAGUAAAGAUCCUGCAAAUCCACAACUCAUGACAUAAACCCCACAUAAUAUAAUCCCAUGUGAAAUUGUUAUGUCACCAAUUUGCCAGACAAUGAACCCUUUUUUUAUGCUACAUUGGAUUAGGACAGCUCAGGAGCUCUUAUGUAAUCUAUGGGAGCCUGCAUGCAGAGGCACAAUGACUGGGUUGUUUUUGCAUGAGGCAGCAGCCCUGAAAUAAUCUGGUUACAUAGGAGCAUGUCAAUCCAGAACUACAAGAUCUGCUUUUAGAUGCUACAAAUACAAACUGCACCAGUGUGCUCAUGUGUUGGAUUUCAUGUUUAUUUUGGUCCAGAUCUAAGGGUCUGGAUUUGAGGUAAUGUUAGGAGAUUACAUACUCUGAUGAUGUAAUAGAGCAAACAAUGUAAGAUCGUAAUCUCAAUAACAACAAUAUUCUCUUAAAUGGAGGGAUUUUUAUUUCUAAAUGAGCCUAAUCAGACCAAUCUUUGCCAUUUAAGUCCAACACAGGGGUAUAAAUGGAAGACUUUGAGUUUUUGUUUCAUGCAACUUUUGUACAUCUUCAAUAUUAAAUCUAAAAUCCAAUAUACAACUAAUUUUUUUUAAGUUGAAACACUGAUGUUUUGAAUGUAUUAACAAUCACAUAAGCGCCUGGACUCCUCUUUUAAAGAUCCAUGCUGUUGUUAUAAAAGCAGAAUAUAGUUUGGCAUUGUCUGGUAUAUUCUACACAAACAUUGCUUUUCCAUGCUAUGGGCAGAUGUGCAUCAAAAUACCAUUUCAGGAUCUUUGCUUUUGAACUACACUGAUAAAGAGAAACCAAACGGUUGCUCUUCUCUUUGGAGUAGAGGCUACAUUAUUUCCAAGAGGAACAUAAAAUUCGGAUUAGUUUGACCCCAGGAUAUUUUUACACUCUACUUCAGUCCAUCUUAAAUAGAAAAUCGCCAGUGUUUUCGGAUCAUGUAUUGUUUCGUCUUUGUAUGUUACAGUUAUCUGAGUUUUUAACCUGGUAAGAAACAGACUAAAACUGAUACUGAUGCCUCUUUAUGACCUUCAAAAGCAAAAAAUACCAUCAGCAACAAGUCUGAUAAAUUCAUCGUAGUAAAUAAAAUAGACAAAUAAAUAGCGGGGUUUAAAUCACUUGCAACCCAUCAAAAUCUGUCAUGUUACAGCUGUCUGUGUUUUUAAAGGCACUGUAAGGAGUUUUUAACCUGGUGUGAAACAGACUGAAACUGAUCCUGAUGCCUCUUUAUGACCUACAACAACAAGAAAUAUUACUGGCAACAAGUCUGAUACAGUCACCUCAGUAAAUUUUAACAUGAAAAAUCACUAUGAGGGAGGAGGUGUUGGACUAGAUGAUUGACAGCAGGCUGAGAAAACGUCUUUUUUUAAACAGCAAAAACUCAGAGUGAAUGAUAAAUUUAACAAAACCCUAACCCUAACCGUAACCCAAUAGAUAAGAAGUAUUACAACGUCCACAGGAGGUCCCAAAUCAGAAGUUAAAAGUUUCUCACAGCAACUUUGAGGAAACUUGUUUUCAGUUUCAACACCUGAUAUGUCGUUUUUGGACUAUUUUCAAUUAAAUAUCAGGGUUUAAAUGAUUGCAACCCAUCAAAAUGUGUUUUUAUAAACAUUUUAAACAGCAACUUAAGUUUUUUGGGUGGUCGGGGAUCUGGUUUCAUACGGCUCGCAACAAUUUCUAUGUCAGCUUUGAUAAAAAGUGCUUCAAUUUUUUCAGAAUUUUUUUAAUCUACUAAAAUAAACUUCCAGUCCUUUUUUAUCUACCCCCAGGCUAAAGCAAUUUUAUGUUUCUGGCUGAUGGAUCAACAAUGAAACAUUUUUAUGACCUGUUUAUUCGGUUUACACUCAUAGUGGAAGAACUUUUUGUCCCUCCAGCGUUCACAUGAUUUUGUUAAAGCGGGGAAACUAGAUAAAAACCAGCAGACAUCUCAUGACCGUUCUGAGGCAUCCCAAAGACAACAUUGUUAGUGUCCUGUAACACUUUUAUUUUUGUGCCAAACGCCCAGUAUUUGUAGUACAUCAUGCUGUGUUAUCCUGGCUUUGGGUUGCCCGGGGCAUGAGUGUGUGGAAAGCUAGCUUAGGUUGAACACCUCGUCCACAUGAGCUUUUGAUCCACUUUAUAACAAAUGCUGGGGCGGACAACAUUACGGAAAAACCGCAAAUCUGCUCGACAGACUUCCACACAGGCUUAAAGUGGCCUGUUUGAUUGAGUUCAGCGUUCAUUAGAUCACUUCUAUCUUUAGACUGAAGCUGUGAGAGCUGGAGGGAGUGAGAGAGACGUAUCGACAUGAGGCUGAAGGGAAGUAGAUCAACGUGUCGCCACUGCUGAUCAUGUAAUCUUAGUGAAUUUACAGCUUAAUACCCACGUUUGGCGGGACCUGUGCGCCAAAUAUGACCAAUUAGACUCUAAUCACGGUGUCAGGAAAUACUCAGUGUCAGGCUCGAGCCGGGAAAUCCUUUUUACUGGAAAGCAAACACCCCAAGCAUCUGGACAUUUACCAAGAAGUAGCCGGGUCACUAUUUGAAGCUGUUAAUCCUGAAAAAAACUAACAUUUCCAGCACGUUUGUGUCACGUUAAGUGUGAAGUUGAAAUUUAUCACUUCCCCUGCGAUAAUCCAGGCAGUCGACCAUAUUGUUUCACUCUGCAGCGUCAUUAAUCAAAGCGGGGGGAGAUCGUUUGCAGGGUGUUGUGACAGAUAAGAGCAUCAAAACAUAUGCUGCAGAGUUUUGCAAGAGGAAAUGCGCUUUAAACGAACACUUUAUGGAGUUUGCAUGAAUCUUAAUGAGAUCAUUAAUAUGAGAUAUGCAGACAGGGCACAAGUUAGAGUUAAACUUUGUUAAAUAAGAGAUGAUCUGAAGUUCUGAUGCUCCAGUGGAAGAGACUGAUACUUUCUUUUCUUGAGUCUCAUUGUCUUUGGUUGAUUUUGGGGGCAGUUGUCUAAUAGGAGAUUUUUUUAAAAGUACUUUGCAGUUUCAUAUUCUUUCAUUACAAAUCAACAUUUGUAUUCCCAGGUAUCUAAAAUUUAAAAAAUCUGCAAGAUUCAGGUUGUAGCAUGUUGACCCUGCAAAAAGCAAUUUACAGGACAUUUAAAUAAAAUUCAAAACAAUGAAGCUGAAAGAUAACACAGAGUAUAAGGGACAAACUGAAGCAAAACUCAAUGAGAAAGUCGUAAUGUGAAAACUGUGUGGAAAACUUGUAACAAUUUUUUAAAACUUAGACCUUAACUUUGGAAUUUCACCACUUUUGGGGGGGUAAAAAUGUGACUCUUCUCAUGAAACAAACACUUUAUUGAAGAGAUGAUUCAACUUUUUCUUACUUGUUAAGUCAUGACUCUGUUCUUGAAGUAAUUUAUUUUCUUUGCCACGCACGUCCUGUUGAAAAAAGAUGAAUAACUUAUAACAAACAUAGGAAAUGAUGAAAAAUCAUUAGGCAUACAGCAUGAUCAUGAUAAUAUAUAUAUAUAUAUAUAUUUGCAUACAAGUAGGGCUGGGAGAUAAAACGAUAAUAUAUAUCGAAAAUUAAUUUCCCUCAAUAUCAAUAUAAAACAUAGUCAAUAUCCUUUUUUCGAUAGUCGGCAUUCUGCAAUGUUUUGGUAGACUAUACAAAUAGCCAAUGAAAAGGGGAGUUUCUCCAGGUCCGCUUCAAGCUGAACCAAUCAUGUGCUGAGUUAGAACCAAGUAGCAAAUAACUGCAUAGUAGCAGGCUGCAGCUACACACAACUAUAGCACUUUAACACCAAAAACAGCCGACCAUUCAGUCCACUUUCUCUAGAGCAACGCCUUACGACAAAAUGUCAAAGAGACACAAAGACGUCACAGACGCAGUAGCUUAUUGAAUUGCAAAAGACAUGCUACCAAUAAGAACUGUUAAGUUUCAUUUUUUAUAUCGUGAUACAUAUUAAUAUUGACUAAUAUGAAAAAAAAUAUAUUGUGAUAAACUUUUUCCCAUAUCGCCCAGCCCUACAUACAAGUAACAACUGCAAACACAAACAAAAGUAACAAAGUCAGGUCUGAAUAAAUCGACCAAUUAUCUGUUGUUAACCUUAAAGAGCUAAAUAUGCAGCGUAUAGAUGAGUGAUCUACAACCUUUAAGACUUACAUUUUCGAAUAACUGAUGAAAGUUAAAUCUCAAUUUUUUGUUUCUCAUAUAAACUCUAUAGAGUAAAAUCACUUAUGUGUCAGUGAAACUAUUGCAGUGUGUAAAUGAACACAUUAAACACCGUUAACUCCACCUGUGUAACACACUGAAGAUUUCAUGAAAAGCUUUAUGGCCUGUAAAGUUUCUCUUACUUUCCCUGCUGAAAAGGAGCUUCUGGUGCUCUCUGAGGCCCUCCCUGCUCACUGUUGUCCCUCUUCUGAACGUGUGUGUGUCUGUGUGUGUGUGUAACCUUGACAGAGAAAGCUAAGCUUCAGUGAGUGCCUGCGAGCUCUGAGCUAUCUUUAGCUUCUGCUGAAGCUUUUAGCACUGGCCUUCUCCUCCUACACUUCCUACUCUUCCUCCUCCUCCGCUCCCCUCAGCCCACUCACUGUUGGCUGCACAUGCAAACAUGCACACUUAUGCAUGCUUGCACACAACCGCACUCAUACACACAUACGCACUCACGCGACUGGAACAUACAUAUGCACACUGCAGAACUGUUACCGGGCAGAUUAGAGGAAAGCAACCUACUUCUGGGAUGAAAACACGAGCCUGAUGUUUGUUUCUCUUUGCAGAGUGAGCGGCCGACUCCUGUUCCCUGUGCUGCCCUGAUUUCUGCCUGAAGGCAAGUCAUAACCAAGGGCCUCACAGGAGUCACCCCUGUGCCCCUAUUGGUCGAGAGUAAAUCAAAUUCAGUGUGAAGCGCUCUAACAGACCGAACGAACUAUUAAUAAAUUAGCUGCAAACCAAACUGUGCUUACACCAAUCAUCAUUUGCGUGUAAUGGCCCACUGCAUCUGAUUUAUAUUGCUUAUUAUGCACAUGAGCUACAGUAACUAGUAAUGGUGUGAAAUGCAUUACUGAUGGUCUGAUUGUUGGUAUGUUUUCCAGCUUUAAUUAACUAUUCACAUGCAGCUGCAGAGGUGAUUUUACCACAUUGUCGCCUGAUGUUUUCACUAUUUUCCAAGACAGUCUCAUGUUUAGGAUUAAUAGCAACAAAAGGCUCAAGUUUUCCAAUCGAACACUCUCGAAUAGCUCGGCCAAUCGGCUCUGCUAAUCAGUGUUAAUCGUGUUAAAUGCUCCCGCACUGACGCCAAGGGGUGGUCAGGAAAACAUCCGCUUCAGGUUACUUUGCAUAAUCCAGUCGGAGAGGUUUAAACCAGAGGACCAGUUCCCAGGAGGCUUUCUCAAAAGUGAGCGUUUCAUUCAUUAAAGCCACCUUUGCAGAAAUACGAUAAAUCUAAGACUCAUGAGUUAUCAGAGUAGAUAUGCAGACAUUAUUGGAGUCUAGCUCUGUUUUUCUCACUUGAAGUUGUAUUUUAAAUUAUUUUUUAAUCCUUCUGCUACUUUAAACCAGGACUUUGAAUAUGAACACUAUAACUCAAAUACCUUUCAACUUAAUGUAAUAACUUUGCAAUAUCCCUGAAACACGUAUUACCUCUGUUAAUGUCAUAAUGCUUCAUUUUGUUUGAGAGCGCUUCACAAAGCAGCUCUUACAGAUUUAUGAUCCAGUGGUUGAAAAAUAACAAAGGAGGUAGAAAUAUGUCAGCAGUUCUUCUUGGUUUAUUAAAAGUUAUUCUUCUUUUUUACCUGAGCUCCAUUUAAAAAAAAAAAAGGAAACUCUUAAAUGCAUUUUUGCAGAAUUAAAAAAAUUCCUCCUCUAUGACAGGCGUCCAAAUUUACUGGAAAACUAGACCAGCUUACAGACUGGUACAGGAAAUGUUAUAAUGUGGCAACUGUAACAGGGCACUAACAACAAGCGCAAGUAAAAUCAUCUACGUGCUUAAUACGCGUGAAUUAAUAGUAUUUACUGGCUUCAUUCGCACGUCAACAGUAAUUUCAAUGAUAAUCCCUGCCAAUUCAACCGGCAGAAUUAAGUGAUAGACAAAGUUUUUUUAAAUUUACCAGGUAAUCUGACCUCCUCACUCACCUGCCUCUAGACGAGCUCCUUUUUAUUCCGGUUUCGGUGAUUGAAAGAAAAGGUAAUUUGGGGCACCCACACACCAACACGAUCAGUUUGUCCUCCAUUUUAGAUAGCGGUGAACAACCGUACGUUUUCAACCUUCGUGCUGAUUAGUUAUCCCGACGCAAAUAUCCGCUUAAAUUGAGACAUUUUCAGCUCCUGCUCAUCCGUGCCACCAGAGUAGUAGUAGGAGCGUCUAAUCGCGUCUUUGCAUUGACUUAACAUGUUAUUCAUUCGCGCAAAUGAUUUUACUCACGUUUUGUGUGUGGAGACAGUGAGGGGGAUAUCUUAUUGUAUUUUGGCAGAGUUACUUUUUAUGAAGGGGGCAGCUGUGAUUCAAGGUCAUUGGAAGGUCAGGGGUUCAAUUCCAGGUCCCGCUGACACAUGCCAAAGUGUCCAAUCAACUUUUUUAUCAAUAGGCUCAUACUUACUCAUCACGGGAGCUUCUUGGCCGCUGUAGUCAUCUCCAGGAGGAGUGAGCAAGGGACUACAGCAUUGAGAUACACUUCCACGGUUUUGUGGCGGCUUGUUCCCCUGAGUUUGUUACUAUUGGGUCCUCACUGUUGACGUUCAACUUGUCGAUGUAUUCCAACAUAAAAAAUCCUUGUCUUGUAUUUGAAUUUGUACACUAUUCCCAAAAAUUGAUUCAAAACAUCCUUUGUUCGGGUUUUAAAUCUGUGGAUAGCUCUGGUUUGUUUUCAGAGUCUAACCCACUGUAGGCUGACCAUACUCAGUCAACUUAUAUGUAAAACAGGCAGCCACAGAGUACUCUAAAAGGGUGAUAACUAUGUGUAAUGACUGUAAAGGUAAUUUAGAGUUAUUUUCUUCUAAAUGUGAAUAUAUAUAAAGGAGGUAUUUAUAGUGCCAUUAUGUUAACCUUAUCAUCUUGUCGUCGGUGAAUGAGAACAUCUCUCCUCCCAGACUGUGAAAAUGAUCCGAGCAGCAGUCAUGCAUCUUUAAUAUUCAUUCAAUCAUGUCAGCGUGAGAUUGUCUAAUAAUAGUCAUUCUACAGCUCAGGAGGAGAGUUACUGGUGUGGGCCUGCACCUGUAUUCCUGUCCUCCCCCUCUCUGUCUCUGCACUGCAGUAUCUGAGGCUGUCAGGAGACCAUAUGCACCGAGUGUCAUUGCCGGCCUCUGCCUGUCAUCCCUGCUUCCCCCCAGCCUCUGUGCGCGGACCGCCGGGACACACAUGCACACUCUGGGUAAUACUACACACACUCUCUCUGUCCUCCUCGACUCACCUUCUGAGCUGCUGUCCCAAGACACCCGCUGAGAAAAGAGCUUUACUCUGCACCCGACAGACACAGAGAGAGAGAGAGAGAUAGUGCUUCUGCAGCCUCUUUGCCUUAAACGACAAAAAUAUCUCAUGCAGUGGUUUUCAUAUUUGAUGUUUAAAUAAUCUUUGAAAGAAGUCUGAC